GCACCAACUCUCUUUCGGGCGCAAACACUGUAGAGCUGCCGAUGAACUACAUCACCACGAAUGCACAACCUACAACACAAUCUUCCAUACACUGUGAUGAAGCCCCAGUACCAGGCUUUUCACGAGAGAGCGCAGUCAGGCGGGAACAAAGGCAGCUCGGACGGGCGCUUUAAGACACUAGGGCAGUCACUGACGA
rnacentral:lncRNA from 1 species